rnacentral:rRNA from 1 species
GCCCUAGUAACGGCGAGUGAAGCGGCAACAGCUCAAAUUUGAAAGCUAGCCUUCGGGUUCGCAUUGUAAUUUGUAGAGGAUGAUUUGGGGAAGCCGCCUGUCUAAGUUCCUUGGAACAGGACGUCAUAGAGGGUGAGAAUCCCGUAUGUGACAGGAAAUGGCACCCUAUGUAAAUCUCCUUCGACGAGUCGAGUUGUUUGGGAAUGCAGCUCUAAAUGGGAGGUAAAUUUCUUCUAAAGCUAAAUAUUGGCGAGAGACCGAUAGCGCACAAGUAGAGUGAUCGAAAGAUGAAAAGCACUUUGGAAAGAGAGUUAAAAAGCACGUGAAAUUGUUGAAAGGGAAGCGCUUGCAAUCAGACUUGUUUAAACUGUUCGGCCGGUCUUCUGACCGGUUUACUCAGUUUGGACAGGCCAGCAUCAGUUUCGGCGGCCGGAUAAAGGCUCUGGGAAUGUGGCCUCCACUUCGGUGGAGGUGUUAUAGCCCAGGGUGUAAUACGGCCAGCCGGGACUGAGGUCCGCGCUUCGGCUAGGAUGCUGGCGUAAUGGUUGUAAGCGACCCGUC